rnacentral:rRNA from 1 species
CCCUUAGAUGUCCUGGGCCGCACGCGCGUUACACUGACGCAUUCAACGAGCUUAUAACCUUGGCCGAGAGGCCUGGGCAAUCUUGUUAACGUGCAUCGUGAUAGGGAUAGAUUAUUGAAAUUAUUAAUCUUGAACGAGGAAUUCCUAGUAAACGCAGAUCAUCAAUCUGCAUUGAUUACGUCCCUGCCCUUUGUACACACCGCCCGUCGCACCUACCGAUUGGAUGGUCCGGUGAAGCCUCGGGAUUGUGGUUCUUGCCGCUUUAUUGUGGCGUGACCGCGAGAACUUGUCUAAACCUUAUCAUCUAGAGGAAGGUGAAGUCGUAACA